rnacentral:misc_RNA from 1 species
GGAAGCUUUUUGAUGAAAUAGAGACGACGGAAAGUGAAUUGGCUGGGAAUAAAGGAUAUUUGGAUGGUGAGAAGAUGAUGGUUGUGAGAUCAAAGAGGCCAGGAAGGGUAAAGGCAGUAAAUGGUUUGGGGAAUGAAAUGAAAGCGGGUGGAACAUGUGGUCUUGAGUAUGUGAAUCUCAUCCUUCUCACUCUCAUCAUU